GAUGAACGCUGGCGGCGUGCCUAAUACAUGCAAGUCGAGCGAACAGACGAGGAGCUUGCUCCUCUGACGUUAGCGGCGGACGGGUGAGUAACACGUGGAUAACCUACCUAUAAGACUGGGAUAACUUCGGGAAGCCGGAGCUAAUACCGGAUAAUAUAUUGAACCGCAUGGUUCAAUAGUGAAAGACGGUUUUGCUGUCACUUAUAGAUGGAUCCGCGCCGCAUUAGCUAGUUGGUAAGGUAACGGCUUACCAAGGCAACGAUGCGUAGCCGACCUGAGAGGGUGAUCGGCCACACUGGAACUGAGACACGGUCCAGACUCCUACGGGAGGCAGCAGUAGGGAAUCUUCCGUAAUGGGCGAAAGCCUGACGGAGCAACGCCGCGUGAGUGAUGAAGGUCUUCGGAUCGUAAAACUCUGUUAUUAGGGAAGAACAAAUGUGUAAGUAACUAUGCACGUCUUGACGGUACCUAAUCAGAAAGCCACGGCUAACUACGUG
rnacentral:rRNA from 1 species